AACGUAGGUGGCGAGCGUUAUCCGGAUUUACUGGGCGUAAAGGGUGUGCAGGCGGGCUGGUAAGUGGGGGAUGAAAUAUCCCGGCUCAACCGGGAAGGGUUAUGCCAGACUGGCAGUCUAGAGAGCGAGAGAGGGACGUGGAAUUCCGGGUGUAGUGGUGAAAUGCGUAGAGAUCCGGAGGAACCCCAGAGGCGAAGGCGGCGUCCUGGCUCGCAUCUGACGCUCAGACACGACAGCAUGGGGAGCGAACAGG
rnacentral:rRNA from 1 species